GACUCCUCAGCUCUUCUCACAAUGAGGCUCCCUGCUCAGCUCCUGGGGCUGCUAAUGCUCUGGGUCCCUGGAUCCAGUGGGGAUAUUGUGAUGACCCAGACACCACUCUUCCUGUCUGUCACUCCUGGAGAGCAGGCCUCCAUCUCCUGCAGGUCUAGUCAGAGCCUCCUGCAUAGUGAUGGAAACACCUACUUGAAUUGGAUUUUGCAGAAGCCAGGUCAACCUCCAAGGCGCCUAAUUUAUAAGGUUUCUACCCGGGACCCUGGGGUCCCAGAUAGAUUCAGCGGCAGUGGGGCAGGGACAGAUUUUACACUGAAAAUCAGCAGAGUAGAGGCUGAGGAUGCUGGGGUUUAUUACUGCCUGCAGGGUACACAAUAUCCUCACACAGUGGUACAGCUCUGAACAAAAACCUCCCUGCUGGAGUGGCCCAGCUGCUCAAAUGUGUUGUUUACCUGGGCAGCAGCUGAACAGAAUCUCUGUAUGAGAGCAACAUGUUGGAGAACUCAGGGCAACAGGUUGCAGCUGAAGGUUCUGUCCUGUGAGUGCCUCAGUUGUAAGUCAGUCAAAACCUAUUCACAGCUCUUUCAGCUGCAACAGCCUUGGCAUGGCAUACGCCAUAGGAAACCGGAAAUGAUCCCAGUGCCUGCACAGGUAAUAGCACUGAGGGAGAGCUGAAGGAAAUCUCAUUCCAAUCCUUCCUGCCUUGCCUGCAUUGGGAAAUAAACAGGUUAACAGACAGACAAGUAAGCCAGAUUUGUUGCAACACUUGUUGAAUACAUCUUGAGGUUUAGCAGUUUUAAGUAUACAUUUAAGAGGACAGUAUGUGGUAAUAUUCAAAAGUUGAUAUUUUUCAACUUUCCUAACUUAUUUUUCACUUUCGCCUCUUAUCUUCCCACCACAUAUUGAUGGUGGAGAGAACCUUCUGCACAAGCUGUCAUCAUGAGGAGCUGGGUGAGGGCAAUUAGUAAAAACCUUGGAUUUCAACCUCAAAAUGGACUUUUGUAAAUUCAUGGGAGAUAGAAAAUAUGAAUGCUAAAAUUCCUUUAUUUGCUUCAAUUGUUUCUUGCUGAUAGAAAAGGGUAG